GCUUAGAGAGGGGUCAAUGUCCUAUCAGCUAGUUGGCAGGGUAAUGGCCUACCAAGGCUAAGACGGGUAGCCGGCCUGAGAGGGUGGUCGGCCACACUGGGACUGAGACACUGCCCAGACUCCUACGGGAGGCUGCAGUCGAGAAUCUUUCGCAAUGCCCGAAAGGGUGACGAAGCGACGCCGCGUGUGGGAAGAAGGCCUUCGGGUUGUAAACCACUGUCGGGAGUUAAGAAAUGUAAGGGUGUUAAUAGCAUCCUUGCUUGACUAAGGCUCCGGAGGAAGCCACGGCUAACUCUGUGCCAGCAGCCGCGGUAAUACAGAGGCGGCAAGCGUUGUUCGGAAUUAUUGGGCGUAAAGAGCACGUAGGCGGCUUUGUAAGUCAGUUGUGAAAGCCUUCUGCUUAACGGAAGAACAGCAUCUGAUACUGCAAGGCUAGAGUGCGGAAGGG
rnacentral:rRNA from 1 species